AGUGUCUCUGGAAAUUACCUACUCAAAGAAUUUUGGUCAAGGAGCUCAGUGAAGUUGUUUGGGCCUUGGAGAAAAGGAAAAAAAAAAAGUCAUCCACUCGGUAUAACUACAGAAAAGUAGAGAUCUCAACAUCUCUGAAUAUAACUGUUAUUGCACAUAUUACUAAUUUAGUUGCACUUUUGUAUGGACUUUUUAUUUGUUCUAAUUAGCUAUACAUGACAGUAGAAUGCACUUUGACACAUCAUACAUAGAUGGAGUAUAAUUUCUCAUUCUUCUGCUUAUACAUGAUGUAGAAUCACACAGGUUAUAUAGUCAUGUAUGUACAUAAGAUAAAACACCUGACUUUGUUGGGAUUAGUAACUGUGCUCUGUAUAGUAGUAAUGGCAGGUAGAAGGUAAAAUGGAGACAGUGAAUUCUUGCAGUUUUGUCAUCUUUCUCCAGAGACAUGACUCAACCCAUAUAAAGGGUUGAAGAAACAGGUGUUUUUGCAUAAGGUUUGAAAUAUGGAAGUUGACACUCUUCAGAGAAAUGAGUACCAGCUGAAGUAUCUAGAUCGUAUUGGCAUUAUCCAUUUUUUGAUUCCUGGUGAAAGUCUGAAGCCCAUCUCAAGAUUUCUGCAGAUUCUCCCAUGGUACAUGGCAUAUGGCCUCAAGAUUAACUCAGGCUCUGGGUUCAUGCAUUUGUGCAUGCUUCUGCAUUCUGCACUGGGUGUAACCUCAGUCUUUCUCUCAAUUCCCUUGACAAAUCAGCUUAAAAAAUGUGUAUAAAAGUGGAUUUAACUGAAUUGAAGUGCAGAGAAGGUUACUGUGUGGCAACCUAAGCAUUGUGUAUUAGAGUUCCAUGUCUGACAAUGUCCUACAGAGUCCUCAGGGAGAAUUUGCACCACACCUUCUUGUACCCCAAGUAGCAUCCAGCAUUUUAUCUGGCCCCAUAUACUUUUUUGCCUUUCCUGUACUAAAAUUAAAUUUACUUUUUUAUUUAUGCAAAAACAGUUUUAUCUCCAAGCUUUUUAUCAAGCAAGUUUUUUUUUUUUUUUUCUCUCUCCUAACAGAAAGCCUGUGUUAGAGAUUUAGGACAAAAUGUUCACUUUUGUUUCUUUUAAUUAUAUACUUGUUAAUUCAGCAGCUCCUGAGUUAGUCAAUUAGUCAAUCUUGAAAAUGGAUUGUGUAGAGAGUGUGGAUCCAAAAUAGUUUCAAGACAGAAUCAAUGUGAGGAUCUCAAACAAUAUCAAAGGAAAAGAAUUAAAACUAGAAAAGGAAGAAUUCCAGACCAUGUACAUUCACUACCACAAGAUAAAUGAAAGUUGAAAGGCAAAUGGGGCAGCCACAGAAAUAGUCAUUCAAAAGAACUUGGGUUUGAUAUUUAGGGAAAGCAGAGACAUUGAGGACAUACUACCAUCCCACCUUCAAAGGUAAUGCCCAUUUACUGGGAGGGUUCAAUGGAUCCUCAGUGAUACUUGUUGGGGAUUCUGUCAAGAGAUUGAAAUGUGUGGCUGGGCGUGGUGGCAUAUGCCUGUAAUCCCAAUAGCUCUGGAGGCUGAGGCAGGAGGAAUGCAAGUUCAAAGCCAGUCUCUGCAAUUAAGCGAGACCCUGCCUCUAAAUAAAAUAUAGAAAAAGGGCUGGGGAUGUGGACGUUGGUUAAGUGCCCCUGGGUUCAAUCCCCAAUACUAAAAAAAAAAGAGAGAAAGAGAGAUUGAAAUGUGAGCUGGAGGUUGAACUGUGUGAUCCCUCAUGUGGUCCCAGUGUAUGAAUAAAGCAUUAAUUGAGGGAGCCUUGUGUAUAUAUCACUGCUAUAUCUUCUUUUGGGAUCCUGUCAAGGAGCUUUAAGACUAGGUUCCUGGCCAGGCAUGGUGGGAAGCUGAGACAGGAGGAUCAUAAGUUCAAGGCCAACCUAGUAGCUAAACAAGGCCCUGUUUCAAAAUAAAAAAUAAUAAUUAAAAAAGGGAUGGAGAUGUGGCUCAGUGGUUAAAUAAUUCUGGGUUCAACCUCUAGUACCACAAACAAACACAAAACAAAAUUAAAAAAAACAAAAACAAAAAACAAUUUCCUCCCCAAAAUUACGUUUCCUGCUAGUGUUCCUCUUCAGAGGUUUAUAAUGUUCCCCAUGAAAAUAAGAUCAACAUGUCUAUAAUAGAAAAUAUUAUGUACUUAGGAAUAUUUUAUGAAGGAGUAACCUGAAAAAUAUGAUUUAGAAGUAGGAAGAAGAAAAAUAUGAUAACAAUUUGAGGAAAUUUCUUUGUGGGAAUUUGGACACACUGCUGUAUGCUAAGACUGAGAGGUUUGGUGAAGACGGGGUAGGCAGGAAGUAUGGUUACAGCUCCUUUUGUAGUUGGCCGACCUUUGACAGUUUUUAAAUGCAUGUUGCAACUCUAGUCCAGGUCAGGUAGAUGCCAUGAUCCAAGUUAUUCUGAUCUGAGGGAAUGCGUGACCAUGGUCUCUUGAGCACAGAGCUGGUGGUAGUCCAUCACAGGGCAGGUGUGUUCCAAGGGGCAUCUGUCCAAAGAGAAGGAAAGCUGAGAACAUGGACUCAUGGGGCAGUGGAGAGUAGACCCGGGUAAGAAUGGUUGCUUCGGCAAACUGAUGUUUACCUGGUAACAGAUUCUAGCUGUGUCUAUAAAUAAGGCUAGAUGGAGAAGGCUGCCACUCUGUGAAGGACAAAAGAAAGGACAAGGAGAAGGGUGGGGUGAGCUAUAUAGGGGUGUCAGUAAGUGUAUACCCAGGCAGGUUGGCACCAGGUGUAUACUUACCCGACUGUGGGUAUUGGGCCUUCCUAGGACAAUGAGGAGUGUUAUUUAGAAAAGCUUUUCGAGGACUGACGAAAGAGAAAAAGAAUGGAAAAGGAGAAAUGAGAGAAGGAAAAAGUUGGAGGGCCCAAUAAGGCCAAGAGGACCCAGUCCUUGACUUUCUCCUCCUUCUUCCACAUUCCCCCUAUUGCCUGUGACUUUCUUCUUUGCUUUAACGUUGUGUUCUAUUUGACAGCCAUCUAAUAGAGGCUUAGGAGUAGACAUGGUUUUCCAAGGGUAUCCCUUUUGUCAUUUCUUCCCCAACGCUGAAAUUUUUGUCACAUCAUCAUGAAGGAAAAUCAUGACAUGCCCGAUACUGGAAGUGAAGGCGUCUUGGUCUUGCAGGAGAAUUCAGAGGAACAAAGCAAAUGGCACUGGUGGACAGGCGAAGCGGGCCCUUCCACACGGAGUUCUGUCCUUCCUUCCCACUCCUGCCUGAUUCUCAGUGGUCCUGGCACUGUUCCGGGAACCAGAGGGGACAAAACCACUUCAUUCUGCCUUUGCUUUUACUCAGGGGCAGGUGGUUCUUUAUUUCAGCCGUUUCCCAGGCGUGCCUUCUUCAUCCUUCUAUGCUGUCAUUGUCUUUGUCAGUCAGCCUGGAGAUCUUCGGGAAGACAGAAGGGAAGGGAGGGAAGGAGAGCGAUGACCACUAAGCAGGCAACAUGGAAGAAUUAUCUUUUUGGGGGUGGGGCAUACUGGGGAUUGAACUCAGGGGCACCCCACUACUGAGCCACAUCCCCCGCCCUAUUUUGUAUUUUACUUAGAGACAGGGUCUUAGCGCCUUGCUUUUGCUGAGGCUGGCUUUGUACUCGCGAUCCUCCUGUCUCCACCUCCUGAGCUGCUGGGAUUACAGAUGUGUGCCAGCAGCCUGUAAAUAAUUAUCCUUUAUGCCAAAGUAGAAGAGCCCUAUAAAAGAAAUGUUUUUCACUUUGGUAUAUGUAUCAAUAGCUGACAAACUCUAUCAAAAUCUCUAGUCCUAGUUUAGAAACUAAAACAGUUUGGGGGGCUGGGGCUGUGACUCAGCGGUAGAGAGCUCGCCUAGCACAUGCAAGGCCCUGGGUUUGAUCCUCAGCACCAUAUACAAAUAAAUAAAUUAAAUAAAGGUAUUGUGUCCAACUACAACUAAAAAAUAAAUAUUAAAUAAAGAAACUAAAGCAGUUUGUCAUUCUGUAGGCUUAAAAAGGGGCAUCAGAUUUUAAGAUUAUGAACUUUUAAGAAUGUCAAGUCAAAAAAAAAAAAAAAAAGAA